AACCUGACGACAUGUUUGCUGGCGUUGCCGGCUGCAUGCCCAGGCAGUCGAGACCUUCAAGACUGCGGUGCCUCGUUGCACUGGUUGGUCUGUUCUACCGGCGCAUUCCGCGCCAAUCACUCAACCCACAAGGGACGCCCUCCCUUGUGGCGGG
ncrna:Bordetella petrii radC RNA